rnacentral:rRNA from 1 species
GUGGGGAAUUUUGGACAAUGGGCGAAAGCCUGAUCCAGCCAUGCCGCGUGCAGGAUGAAGGCCUUCGGGUUGUAAACUGCUUUUGUACGGAACGAAAAGACUCCUUCUAAUAAAGGGGGUCCAUGACGGUACCGUAAGAAUAAGCACCGGCUAACUACGUGCCAGCAGCCGCGGUAAUACGUAGGGUGCAAGCGUUAAUCGGAAUUACUGGGCGUAAAGCGUGCGCAGGCGGUUAUAUAGGACAGAUGUGAAAUCCCCGGGCUCAACCUGGGAACUGCAUUUGUGACUGUAUAGCUAGAGUACGGUAGAGGGGGAUGGAAUUCCGCGUGUAGCAGUGAAAUGCGUAGAUAUGCGGAGGAACACCGAUGGCGAAGGCAAUCCCCUGGACCUGCACUGACGCUCAUGCACGAAAGCGUGGGGAGCAAACAGGAUUAGAAACCCGAGUAGUCC